UGUCGGAGCCAAAUUCCUCUCAAAUUCAAUAGGUAUUACCCUAUUUUGUUGUCUCUACAACUAAACACAAUCGAAGGGUGCAAUUUCUUCUCCUUGUUCUAUCGAUCAUCGAUUUGGUCUUACAGAAACUUUGUAACCUUACCCAGUGAGUGAUAUCAGUUUACUAGGCUAAUAUGGAUCCAGAGACUUCUAGGAAUGCUCGAGAAUCGUUGGAACUAGCUUUUCAAAUGUCAAACAUUCUAGAAACAGGUUUGGAUCGCCACACACUUUCAGUCCUCGUUGCUCUUUGUGAAAAAGGCUUGAAUCCCGAGUCACUUGCUGCACUUGUCAAGGAGCUCAGAAGGGAACCACAAACUAACCCUGCUACAACAUCUGGGGCUCUUACUUUUCCCUGAUCAGGUGAUUGCGAGCGAAGUCGAAAAGAUGUUGUACUGGAAGAGCUUGCGUUCAGCCUCGUGAUGAUUAUCACUGGAGUUAAAAUUUCGUAGAAUUUAAUUGUAAAGUUGGUCAUUGAUGUAUUUAUAACUUACCAAUUCUCUUUUGUGAUGUCAAUCAGCUUUCCUUUAAACUAGAUGCUGAAAGUUCAGGGAUCAGUAAUACUGCCUCAAUACUGUUGCUAAAUUUUGUUGCUUGUUAUUUUGUUUUGCUGUCGAGUAAGGAUUGUUGAGCAUUUACCGUAGACACCAAUUUGGGAAGGAACUUGUAGUGCACACCUCAACCUGAAAAAUUUCAUAUAACCCAGAAUUUGGAUUGGUCCAUUUUGCAGCGUAAGCUCGGGACGCAUGCUUACUUGGAUCACUAGAGAAUGGUCUCACUGUCCUGUUGGACAUUUAAAAACCUGAUUUGCAACAGAGAAGAGUUUGUGUCGGAUGCUGUAUGAAUCCCACCCGAAUUGUUGCGGUGGAUGAGCCUCCGAAGGGACUAAGAAUUCAAGGGAGAACAAUGAAGAAAAGGAUUUUCAGAGCACUCGCAUGUGUGAGAUGGACAAGGGUGCAUUAUAAUCUCAACAUAGCGUCUCAUCAAUCAGCACAUCAAACCAAACUCUAGAUUCCCAGAGUGGAGCUGGCAACUCCAAGCAAUCCACCUGAAUUUGUUGUCUUCUUCUUUGGAAUCAAACUAGGCAGCGCCGGGUAGGAAAUAAAAACUGGUAACCCGGCACAACAUGUUCAAGAGCCGAGGUUAAGGUGUGUUAGCUUUCACUUCCAUAGGUUAUCAUAAUCUAACGAAGCAUGAACCUUGGUUCUCAAAUCAGAAUUGUUGGACUCAUGCUUUCUGCAGCUUUAAUCAAAUCUGAAUGUAGUUCAAUCAUACAUCAAUAAGUUUGCUCAAUCCAAGUAAUUUACCUAAUUUAACGCUCUUAACUUUUUGCCAAUGUCCCGUGUCACCUCUUCUGGUGGAGUCAUGAUCCUGCGAUACAAUAUGUCAACUUGCAGGUCAGCUCAUCCCUCUCCCUCUCUCUCUCUUAGUAUCUGGCACUGCACAUACCUGUUUCUAUGAUCAGGUAACAAGUGCAAACAGCCUUUUCUGGUGAGGAUUUUGGUUUAGAUUUGAGGAUUUUUGUUUACUGUCAGGUCAGCUCAUCAGCUUUAUUUGAGUGGAGAGUAAUUGGGAAUUUAGGUAUGUAAGUAGAAAUCAAUGUAGAAAAUACGGUUUUAUUGUUGGGGAAUUUUGUUAAGAGGGAUCUGUUCAGUGUAUAAGAAUUAGAAAUGAUUGAAAUUUUGAAGAAUAAGAAUUUUUUGGUGGAAAUUUGAUGUCACUUUAUAUAUUGACAAGUUAAACACAAUAUUAAACUUGCUGGACAGAAAAUAAACAUAAAAAAAUAAACAAAACUGAAUCUGAAACUCAAUAUUCAAGUGGUAUAUUGCAUAUCGUAGCAAAGUUAAAGCAAAAAUACUGAUUUCUUAGUUUUCGUUCAGGUAUAGCUAAAACUAACAUUUACAUCCAAAGAUAAUUCAGAUUCCUCCAACAUCUCAAUAAUUUAAAAAAUUAGUUUGUAUAUAAAGAAGGUUAACAAUUUCUAAGAGAAAAACACUAGCAAAUAAAUAAUGAUCUUUUCAAGUUCUUAUAUAAUCCAACUACAGAUUUUCCAUUCAUAUUUUUAGAAUUCUUAAGCAUAUAAAAGGUGUGAUAUUUUUAAGACAAAAAUAUCAUGUCGAAGGCUUUUGAUAGACAAUCAGACAGAGGUAAGCCUCUCGCUCACACGCUAGUUGGAUCGCCCGAUAUACGGUUUGAUUUCCUACAAGAUUUAGAUUCUGCCACCUCAACAUGCCACUACCACCAUAAAACACAACCACAAGUUCCACAACCACCCACCAGCAGCACACACUCCCACCAUCAACUCCCUUGCCACCAACACCCACCACCAAUACAGUGCACCAGGACCACCGUCCACCAUAUACAAGCCACCACAAACACCUCCCUACGAACCACAAGCAUUGACACUCACAACUACGUACCACAUCAGUAUGAUAACCAACAUCCACCACCAGUGCCAACCAGCAUUGUGGUGGUGGCAGUGUUCAUAGUGGCAUCAGUAUGAAAACCAACUGUACGUUAAAUCAUA